UCCUCACUCUGCCUAACCCUGUCGAUGAGGACGGACCGUUCGCUACACAUAUCGACAGGGGCGGGGGAACCGAAAGCGGGCUCUCUCCGGAGUCCUAGGGGUAAAGACGCGCGUGGACCACAGCUGGGGCGGUGGUCAAUGCGAUACGCGUCCGGAUGUCCCAUCCGAACCCGACAGCUAACUUCGCAGGCAUUGGGAAAGGCAGC
rnacentral:sRNA from 1 species